rnacentral:misc_RNA from 1 species
AACCAUAGAAACCUGCGGAGUACCUGCGGAAGGAUCAUUACAGAGUUGCAAAACUCCCACAAACCAUCGCGAAUCUUACCCGUACGGUUGCCUCGGCGCUGGCGGUCCGGAAGGCCCUCGGGCCCCCGGACCCUCGGGUCUCCCGCUCGCGGGGGGCUGCCCGCCGGAGUGCCGAAACCAAACUCUUGAUAUUUUAUGUCUCUCUGAGUAAACUUUUAAAUAAGUCAAAACUUUUAACAA